rnacentral:lncRNA from 1 species
UGUGAGUUAACCAUUUUCUGUUCGUAGGGCUCUGCAACAAAUUGGUGCAAGGCCUUCCAAAAACAAUUUGUUACAAGAACAUGAAUUGGUAAAUGGCAAAUAGCCAACUACGUUGUACAAUAAGAAGUUUCUAACUUCUCCUUUGUUUUCGUCUUAUUUGACAUGUAUCUUUUGGAUUUGUCUUAAUUUGGUCAUACAAAAUCUCUUAUUGUUAGAAAAUCUUCUUAACUUCAAUUAUUAUGGGCAUCUUUACGCGUGGGAGUGAACACA